rnacentral:rRNA from 1 species
AAACGACUCUCGGCAACGGAUAUCUCGGCUCUCGCAUCGAUGAAGAAC